ACCUGUGGGAAAGGUCCAACCUCACAUGUCCUGUAUAGAAUAAAGAGGGAUGUAUGUGGUCAGACCUAUCCCACAGGC
rfam:Haliaeetus albicilla contig12611, whole genome shotgun sequence.